ensembl:lncRNA
CGGUUACUGGGUUCGAAGCAGAAAGGACCGGGCAUCUGAACGUACCUGUUGGGUCACACAGAGACAGUCUCUUAUCAAACAUUCUGAUAUGACGUUGUUCUGUUUUGAGUUGUGGGAAAGCCUCAUGGCCCUAUAAGGUUAAAAGGAAAUGAAACCAGCAAAAUACAAGUGAAAGAAAUCAAACAUUUGACCCAAAUGUCGCACAGAGUGAAGAGCCUCACUGGCCCAGACACAAACCAGCAUAAACACCUCCAGUCAAAAUGCUGAACAAACACACAGGGACCGGAUGAAACAGGGAGGUCUGGGAAUCCCUGAUUGGAACAGAGAGAGGUGAACCGGGUGUCUGUCAGAGGGCCCCUGACUGGAACAGAGAGAGGUGAACCAGGUCUGACUGGAACAGAGGCAGGUGAACCGGGUCUGACUGGAACAGAGGCAGGUGAACCGGGUCUGACUGGAACAGAGGCAGGUGAACCGGGUCUGACUGGAACAGAGGCAGGUGAACCGGGUCUGACUGGAACAGAGGCAGGUGAACCGGGUCUGACUGGAACAGAGACAGGUGAACCGGGUCUGACUGGAACAGAGAGAGGUGAACCAGGUCUGACUGGAACAGAGACUGGCUGUGUUCCAAAACGAAUUUCUAACAGGUCUUUGAGAAAAUUAAGGAAGGCUUUCUGCCACCUCUCCAGUCUCACUACUCUCAACAAACAGAGUGAUCUAGUCUCACUACUCUCAACAAACAGAGUGAUCUAGUCUCACUACUCUCAACAAACAGAGUGAUCUAGUCUCACUACUCUCAACAAACAGAGUGAUCUAGUAUACAGCCAUUGUGAAGACGCUGAUCCAGUCUACAGCCAUUGUGAAGACUGUGAUCCAGUCUACAGCCAUUGUAAAGACUGUGAUGUAGUCUACAGCCAUUGUGAAGACUGUGGGGCGACACACAAUUGGCCGAGUGUCAUCCGGGUUAGGGAGGGUUUGGCCGGUAGGGAUAUCCUUGUCUCAUCACGCACCAGCGACUCCUCUGGCGGACCGGGUGCAGCGCACGCUAACCAGGGUCGCCAGGUGCACGACACAUCGGUGCAGCUGGCUUCCUCAUUCAGUCUUCAACGAGUUCCGGAGGGCCUCAUUCAGUCUUCAACGAGUUCCUGAGGGCCUCUUUCAGUCUUCAACGAGUUCGGGAGGGCCUCAUUCAGUCUUCAACGAGUUCCGGAGGGCCUCAUUCAGUCUUCAACGAGUUCCGGAGGGCCUCAUUCAGUCUUCAACGAGAUCCGGAGGGCCUCAUUCAGUCUUCAACGAGUUCCGGAGGGCCUCAUUCAGUCUUCAACGAGUUCCGGAGGGCCGUACUGAAAAUGUUUUAUAUUUCCUCGUCGUCAAAAUGUGCUAAAAAAACUUCUCUGUUCAUCGUUUUUAACAUUUUCGAUGCUCCCUGACUGUCUAGAGUUCUUUUCAGUGAUUAUUAGUGAACUGGGCCCAGUCAAUAAACUGUAUGAAUGUAGUGAUUAUUAGUGAACUGGACCCAGUCAAUAAACUGUAUGAAUGUAGUGAUUAUUAGUGAGCUGGACCCAGUCAAUAAACUGUAUGAAUGUA